GACCGCCCCAGCGGGAUUCACAUGCCUGCACCGAACUCUCCGGGGAAAGCUGGUCGUAAUCCCAGCCAAAUAACGACCUAAUAAGAAGAACAAUAUCCCCCAAGGCUCCUU